GUGUCGGGGUGGGCCCGAAAAUCUAACUGUGGAGAAAUUCUUCCCCACAGACAAGUUUUGAGAAUCAGUGCCCUGGUCAAAACGGAUUUCAAGGCGGCCUCACCCGCUAACUUAAGGGAGCUGCAGGAGAGGGCUCACCUGCCCAGGAAGCCUCGGGGGCCAAUUGAGCCACGGUUCACUCGACCACUCGCUCGGUGCUUGGGAGAUGCGGGGAAGAGUGGCCCCGACCAGAGAAGAGGUCCACAAGCCGCUGUGGCAGAUGCAGACCCAGAGGCCUCCUGGCGCACAGGCUGGUAUGUGUCCCUUUCAGAAUCAGAGUCCUCUAAGACUUCUUCCUCUCAUGUCUUAACAUUCACAUUUCAGGAGACAAUAGAUUCUAACCUAAAAACCACUUCUCUGGCAUUUACUCUGUCAUCUCAGACAAGUUAUUCAGUCUCGUUGGGGGUGUGUGCUCAGUCCCUAAGUGGUGUCUGACUCUGCAGCCUCAUGGACUGUAGUCCGCCAGGCUCCUCUGUCCAUGGGAUUCUCCAAAACAAGAAUACUGGAGUGGGCUGCCAUGUCUUAUUUAAUCUCAUUAAGCCUCAAAUCUCAGUUCCUUCAUCUGUUUUGAGGGAAUAAUACUAUACCCACCUUAUAAUAUUGGGUGAAGAUUAAAUGGGGUAAAAUAUGUGGGAUGCUUAGAAUCAUACCUGGCAUUUACUAUGAACUCAAUAUUAGCUGUGACUAAUGCAUAGCUUCCCAGGUGGCACAGUGGUAAAGAAUCCACCUGCCAAUAUAGAAGAGAAAAGACAUGCAGGUUUGAUCCCUAGGCCAGAACGAUCCCCUGGAGUAGGAAAUGGCAACCCGACAGUAUUUUUUGGCUGGAAAAUUCCAUGGACAGAGGAACCUAGAGGGCUACAGUCCAUGGAGUUGCAAAGACUUGCACAUGACUGAACACACACACGCAAUGCACAGCAAAUUCCUGAAGGCUUACCCUAUGUUAUAGAAAAGCUACUAGGAUUAUUAUUACAGAUGUGGGGCAUAGUAAUGUUUGCCAACUACACAUACCUUGAGAUGGUAAGAAUGAAGGAUGAAGGGCUUCUCUGGUGACCCACUGUUAAGACUCUGACAGGUUCGAUCCCUGAUCAGGGAAAUAAGAUCCUGCAACCCUCAUGGUGCAGCCAAAAAAAACCCCAAGUCAAAACAAAAAUGAUGACCCAUUUGCUAAGUUCCCUUUGAUUUUAGGUUAUUGACAGGUACUUAAAGCUAGAGAGAUUUUCAGUUAUUCACAAUUACUAAUAGUAUUCCCCCAUUUCUUUGAGUUCUAUCUAUAGUCCAAUAGAAAAAUAGCUUUUAUAGAUGGUAUUUUAUAGUCAAAUAGCAAUUUGAUGGGGAGUGGGGUUAUAGGCCAACAGAAUUAUACAGGUUCAUUUGGGGCAGGAGUUCUCAACCUAGGGUCCAUGAAAUUCUAGAGCAGCAGUUCUAACUACAAUAGAACUUCCUAUAAUGGUGGCUACUGAGCACUUAAAAUGCAGCUCGUGUUGCUAAGACCCACUAGGUAGUGGCUCCCAUCAACAGUUCUAGAGGGUCACGUGGAUGGAUUUGGAGAUUUUAUAAAACUUUUGAUAUUGUACAGAAAACUACAUGUGUGUGUGUAUUUUCUAGGAAGUGAAUCCAUGGCUUUCAUCAAGUUCUCUAAAUGAUGAAAAAGAUUAGAAAACACUACUUUAAGGCUUGGUAAAAAGUAAGAGAAGUAAGUAUGCCCUUGAGUAACCACUGUUGAUUUUACUUUCUUAAACAAUUGGUACUUGAACAAUGCAGUGAGAGUUUGGGGCUCUAACUCUCUGCAUAGUGGAAAAUUCACGUAUAACUUUACAGUUGGCCUUCCAUAUCUGCAUCCAUGGAUUCAGCCAACCAUGACACAUGGAUUGUAUAGUACUGUAACACGCAUUUAGUGAAAAAUUCCCAUGUGUAAGUGGAUUCAUGCAGUUCAAACCCAUGUUGGACAAGUUAACUAUAUUUUCUUGUCCUUAGCUAUCAGUGGCUCCCUAAUUUGUAGAAGAAAAAAUAAUUUUGAAUUUCAGAUUUAAAAAAGCCCUACCACUCCGGGUCUUAGUUCUCAUGGGUACUGAAUUCUGUCUCUGGAGCUGUUUUCAGUCCUUGCCUGGGUCCCAUAGAUUCCUUUGUACUCAAGGGGGUGGCGGUGGUAGUUGUCUGUGCCUGGUUUUCAAACUGACAGCUGAUGAAAUCUACAAUGUUAAGAGACCCUGAUACUGGGAAUGACUGAAGGCAGGAGGAGAGGGGAUGACAAAGGACGAGAUGGUUGGAUGGCAUCACUGACUCAAUGGACAUGAGUUUGAGCAAACUCCAGAUGGUGAAGGACAGGGAAGCCUGGUGUACUGCAGUCCAUGGGAUCACAAAGAGUUGGACACAACUGAGCGACUGAACAACAAUGUUAAGACGUUCAAGUCUGUGCUGUUUGGUGCAGCAGCACAUAAGCAGCUCCUGUCAUUCUGAAAUGCUUUCCCUGACUCUCACCUUAGGAUAUCCUGGCCUGCAGGUUUCUACCACCUAAGCCUUUGCCAUUUGCCACUCUCCCCAGUUUUGAUUUUUCCCCAUUUAACUACAGCUUUCCUAUGAUCUAUGACUUCAGGCUUGUCUUGACCUGUAAUACAUUACUCUUUGAUCCCAUGCUUAGCUUUGAAAUCCAAACAGAAAAAUAGUGAUUUUAAAUGGCAUUUCAUUUGAAACACAUUUUAUUUUUAUUAAUCUUAAUCAUAUUUCCCUUCUCCAUGAAAAUAUAAAAUAAAGCAUUUUGAUAAAAUGUUCUGAAAUUUAAAUUUUCUUUCGAGUUAACAUUAACCAAACAAACUUGCUAAUAUUGUUUGGUAAUGUUAAUAUUUAAUAUUUCCGUCUAUUUGGAUCUUAAAUCACUAUUUAUCAACCUACAUUUUAUUCCAGAACAGUAAACACUGUAAGAUGUGAGGAGGGAGAGGAAGGGACACAGAAAGAGGGAGCAAACAGUAACUGCUCCAGUGACAAAGGAAUGGUAGAUAUGGCAGGAAACUGAGCUGGAGAAAAUUUUACUAGUUGUCCUCAGAUUGCCAGAAACACUGUUAAGAUAGUUGUUUUUGUUAAUUUCAAAAUAAUCCACUUCUAGACUUAUUGAGCUGAAACAUGUAAAGGUUAUUUUUUGCUGGUCACCAACCAGCCCAGUUCAGAUACCAAUUUUUAUUUGAAAAUCAUUUAACUGAAAUUAGUCCAGGACACAGUUCCAAAACUCCUACUUUCACCUCUCUCUCUUUUCUUGGGAUUCAAUAAGACAAUGCUUCUCAACCUUAAAAGACUCAGAAUUUCAGCAAAAUUUACAUUUUAGUCCUAACUUAGAUAAUUCUAUUAUAAAAAUAUUCAGAAGAUAAUAUAUAAAGCUAACUUAGUUUAUUGAUUUUAACACAGAAUUAACUGCUUUUCCAUAGACUGGAGAACAACAGCCUUAAGCCCAAAAGGAGCCUUCCACUUGUUUUAGUUUUGUCCUAAUGUUGAAAAAUUGCCUGACAGAAGUUCCAGGUGAAAUAAUCCAAACUGAAAACAGAAAUCGAUAUAGAGGUCAUCCCCAGAAUUCAGUCUGAAUUCAGAAACACCAGUGGGGACCUGAACUAACCUGCUUCCUGUAUUUAUCAUGGCCAGGACAUCCAGUACCAAAACCGGCCUGAGCUUCCCCAGGGAGCAGAGAAAAGAGUUACAGGUGAAGAAAUUGCAGGAUUCCAAAGAAAUGCAACAAUGAUUUGACUUCAAAACAGUUGGGUGUUCAAGGAAAAAAAAAAAGAAACAAAAUUUCAGUCUUAAUUGGAAGAAAAAGUUUUGGGAUCUACUUAGGAGUUUUUAUCAUCCUAUAACUGGUUUAACACAACUCUU
ensembl:lncRNA